ensembl:lncRNA
GGCAUUUCUUGUGAUCCACUGCAUUAUGAGUCCAUAUGAAUUAGAUAGACAUAUUUAUAUUUUUGGGGGGUUGGUCAGUGUUUCUUGGUGUGGGACCAGCUCAGGUUGUGAGCACUGGGGAGACUUUCUCACUCCAAACUCUGACAUCUCUCUACUGCAGAGAUUAAAAAAAACCCCCAGAUUUUAGGGGGCUCUCCCAGCAGCUCACAACUUGUCAGAUGUUGGUGGACGUAGUUUAGCAUAUAAUAUAUAUAUAAAAACCCAAUAUAUUGAUCAUACAUCAUCUAUAUUAUUGUAUUUCAUAUAGAUAAUCGCCAGCAGUGUAUAUAUAAUACAGUCUUCUGUGCUGCAGUGUUGUCUGGGGGUGUUUUUGGGUGUGAUACAGAAAUAGUCACAUUCUGAAGCUUUGGGCACAAUUUGUUGCCCCCAGUGAGGGGUUUUGUUGCAGGAGGAGAGGAGGCAGAAGUGAGAAGUCAGUGUUGAGGCUCUGUGCUCGAUGCUCCUGGGAGCAGGGAUCAGUCUGGAGGGGUUUUCCCCCAGGGAAAGGGGAGACAGGGAAUUCUUUGCUGGAGUACAAGCAGUAAAUGCAAUAUAUUAAAAACGAGGUUUUCAGCUUUGCCUGGGCAAAGUGGGUGUCAGGCUGGGGUGGCCACCUCAUGUCACCAAUUUUGGAUUUCUCAGGGUGUUUGCUGGAUGGCCAAGCCCCUCAUUUUUGAAGAAGCUCCUGUGCAGUCUCGUAUUUGCCUGUCUGAACCCAGAAGCGCAGAGUUAAAUUUCUGCAGUCUCUAACUUCCCUUGUCUGCAAGCUUCUAUUUCCAUUAAGGAUCAAGCUCAGAUGCAAUUGUAGCUUUGCUUUAUUGAGUAUUAAAAGUUUAAUGUAUAAAUGUCUCCCUUCACCAGAACUUUUUGGCAGCCCUGAAAUUCCUACAAAAAACCACAAAGAUCCCAAUUGCUUCACGGGCUCAGCUGCCCUUGAAGGGUUAAUUAUACUAUGUCUUUUUUUUUUUUUUUAAGCAGGGAGAAUAAGCUGUAGCCAAAAGUAAAAGUCAUUAAUUUUAAGACAGAGAUGUAAGCAAAGUUUCCUUCCCCUCUGCAGGUUGGUCAGGGUAGGCUAUGCAGUAAUUGAAAAGUAAAGGCAAUUGAAUUACAGGCUCCUGUCCAAACCGAGUGCGAUUUCUUCUUCUUCUUCUUCUUCUUUUUUUUUUUUUUUACAACCUCCAUUGCAUCAGAACUAGGCAGUAUUCCUGAUGUUCUCAUGUGUGUUAAUGCUGACUCACAGACUAACUUGCACAAGAAAAAAAAACACACAGGCAGCUCCACCAUACUAGGUAAUGAGCUCUAGCGAGAAGCAGCGUCUGAUGUUUUGUAAGCUUUUUUUAAUUGACCUUUUAAGAUAUUUACUUUAUUUUAAAGCUUUCUGUUCCGUAGUGGCACGGUGCUAGGACUGAGUCAUGCAUGUUAUAUAUUGCUAGCUCUGCUGUUGUGUACUAGGAGUGAGGAGAAUAGGAUUCAGCAUGGCACUUGUCUUUUUUGAUGUGUUACGGAUGGGAAUUAGUGCUUGUGAUGGGAUGCUGCAGGCAGGGUGAUGGGGUGCUCUGUGCUUUCCUGUGGCCGUAACUUACUCGGGGUCUUGACUUUUUAUUAGAUGGCAAAAUACUCCGUUCUGCAGAAUAAUUGUAUUUUCUAGCCAUGUCUCUCCCUUCCCCUUGCAGCAAUCUGAGAGGAAAAAAAAAAA